GUGGGGAAUAUUGGGCAAUGGGCGAAAGCCUGACCCAGCAACGCCGCGUGAAGGAAGAAGGUCUUCGGAUUGUAAACUUCUGUCAUUGGGGACGAAGGAAGUGACGGUACCCGAUGAGGAAGCCCCGGCUAACUACGUGCCAGCAGCCGCGGUAAUACGUAGGGGGCGAGCGUUGUCCGGAAUUACUGUGCGUAAAGGGUGCGUAGGCGGCGAUGCAAGUCCAUUGUGAAAAGCCCGGGCUUAACCUGGGAGGUGCAGUGGAAACUGUAUGGCUUGAGUGCAGGAGAGGAAAGUGGAAUUCCUAGUGUAGCGGUGAAAUGCGUAGAUAUUAGGAGGAACACCAGUGGCGAAGGCGGCUUUCUGGACUGUAACUGACGCUGAGGCUCGAAAGCGUGGGGAGCAAACAGGAUUAGAUACCCCUGUAGUCC
rnacentral:rRNA from 1 species